rfam:Brassica oleracea var. oleracea cultivar TO1000 chromosome C7, whole genome shotgun sequence
GGGGAUGUAGCUCAAAUGGUAGAGCGCUUGCUUUGCAUGCGAGAGGCACGGACUUCGAUUCCCCACAUUUCCA